GACGAACGCUGGCGGCGUGCCUAAUACAUGCAAGUCGAACGCACUCUCGUUUAGAUUGAAGGAGCUUGCUCCUGAUUGAUAAACAUUUGAGUGAGUGGCGGACGGGUGAGUAACACGUGGGUAACCUGCCCUAAAGUGGGGGAUAACAUUUGGAAACAGAUGCUAAUACCGCAUAAAACCUAACACCGCAUGGUGUAGGGUUGAAAGAUGGUUUCGGCUAUCACUUUAGGAUGGACCCGCGGUGCAUUAGUUAGUUGGUGAGGUAAAGGCUCACCAAGACCGUGAUGCAUAGCCGACCUGAGAGGGUAAUCGGCCACACUGGGACUGAGACACGGCCCAGACUCCUACGGGAGGCAGCAGUAGGGAAUCUUCCACAAUGGACGAAAGUCUGAUGGAGCAACGCCGCGUGAGUGAAGAAGGUUUUCGGAUCGUAAAACUCUAGUUGUUGGAGAAGAAUGUAUCUGAUAGUAACUGAUCAGGUAGUGACGGUAUCCAACCAGAAA
rnacentral:rRNA from 1 species